rnacentral:ncRNA from 1 species
AGGAGCCGUAUGAGAUGAAACCUCACGUACGGUUCUGGAACGGAGAUUCUUUGAAUCGAAUAACGACCGUAAC